AGGAUGAACGCUGGCGGCGUGCCUAACACAUGCAAGUCGAACGUCCUGUCUCGCAAGAGGCAGGGAGUGGCGGCGGGUGAGUACCACGUGGGUUAUCUACCGUGAGGUGAGGAAUACCGGCGAGAAAUCGCCGACAAGACCGCAUAGCCUCGGUGCAAGCCGAGGAAAGCUUUCUCGAGAGAGGGAGCGCCACACGAGGAGCCUGCGCCCGAUUAGCUAGCUGGUGGAGUAACGGUUCACCAGGGCGACGAUCGGUAGCUGGUCUGAGAGGACGAUCAGCCACACUGGGAUUGAGAACGGCCCAGACUCCUACGGGGGGCAGCAGUGAGGAAUUUCGUCAAUGGGGGCAACCCUGAACGAGCAACGCCGCGUGCAGGAAGAAGGUUUUCGGAUCGUAAACUGCUUUUCGUCGGGGAAGAGAACGGACGGUACCCGAGGAAUCAGCCCCGGCUAACUACGUGCCAGCAGCCGCGGUAA
rnacentral:rRNA from 1 species